AGAAGCAUCGGAUCUCUUUCUCCUCUCUUUACAAGUGAAUUUCGGCGGCCUUGGGUUUCAAACAUUUAACACUUUAGUGACUCCUCGUGAGCAGACAUCAUCGUGGUCAAACGGGAGAUUCUUGCCAGAGUAACCACAUUGCCUGUUCAGUAAGUUGUGCAGCUUUACUCAAGGUAAACAUUCAUUCUCGAUCAAACCAGAUAUGUUGUACCAUUCUGACAUUCAGGCAUUAUUCAUUGUAUUGUUGGAUUGUUUGACCUAUUUUUUCUCUAUGAUGUCAGCGUUUUAAUCAGUUUUACUGUUGUCAUGACCAAGUAAUUCUGAAAAAAA